GAAAGACCCCGUGCACCUUUACUAUAGUUUUACAUUGUAUUAUAAACUUUUAUGUGUAGCAUAGGUGGAAAGUUAGUAAAAAUUGUUUACGUAAAGUAAAUAGAUCAAACAUUAGUGAAAUACCACUUUUAAAAUUUUUUACUACUAAUUUAUAAGUAAAAGACAGUGUAUAAUGGGUAGUUUGACUGGGGCGGUCACCUCCUAAAAAGUAACGGAGGUGUACAAAAGGUAAGUUCAAAUUGAAAUAGAAAAUCAAUUUUAGAGCUCAAUAGCAUAAAUACUUGCCUAACUGUAAGAUUGACAAAUCAAACAGAAACGAAAGUUGGUUAUAGUGAUCCGAUGAUUCUGUGUGGAAAAGAUCAUCGCUCAACGAAUAAAAGGUACGCCGGGGAUAACAGGCUAAUUAUUCUCUAGAGACCCUAUCGACGGAGUAGUUUGGCACCUCGAUGUUGGAUUAUCGCAUCCUAGAGCUGUAAGCGGUUCCAAGGGUUUGGCUGUUCGCCAAGAAAGGCGUUACAUGAUCUG
rnacentral:rRNA from 1 species